rnacentral:lncRNA from 1 species
AGCCGAACAAUAUUAACAGAAUCUAAUACGCGAUAUGAUACUGUGAAUAAUUCUUUUUUUUUUUUAGUAUGUAAUUCACCUACCCCAAAUUUAAUAAAAUAUAAGAUUUAAAUGGGUAAAUUUAAAGCAAUUAAGACGGAUAAAUUCGCUUGUGUAUUAAAUAUUCUUUUUCUAUUAUUAAUAAAUUAAAAUUUUGGUAAU